UACAGAGGGUGCGAGCGUUAAUCGGAUUUACUGGGCGUAAAGCGUGCGUAGGCGGCUUAUUAAGUCGGAUGUGAAAUCCCCGAGCUUAACUUGGGAAUUGCACUCGAUACUGGUGAGCUAGAGUAUGGGGGAGGAUGGUAGAAUUCCAGGUGUAGCGGUGAAAUGCGUAGAGAUCUGGAGGAAUACUGAUGGCGAAGGCAGACAUCUGGCCUAAUACUGACGCUGAGGUACGAAAGCGUGGGGAGCAAACAGG
rnacentral:misc_RNA from 1 species